rnacentral:rRNA from 1 species
CAGUCUCCACGGGAAUACAGAGGGUGCGAGCGUUAAUCGGAUUUACUGGGCGUAAAGCGUGCGUAGGCGGCUAAUUGAGUCGGAUGUGAAAUCCCCGAGCUUAACUUGGGAAUUGCAUUCGAUACUGGUUAGCUAGAGUGUGGGAGAGGAUGGUAGAAUUCCAGGUGUAGCGGUGAAAUGCGUAGAGAUCUGGAGGAAUACCGAUGGCGAAGGCAGCCAUCUGGCCUAAUACUGACGCUGAGGUACGAAAGCAUGGGGAGCAAACAGGAUUAGAUACCCCGGUAGUCCCUGUCUCUUAUAC